AAAAAAAAAAGAAAUGUGACCAGUCUGAUCUGAAGGACUAUCAUGAGAAAAGAAGUAAAAUUUCUCUGAGUCAUUCCAAAGGUAGACCAGUUUGGGCUCAAAGGAAGGAAGAUUUUAAUAGCUCAGGCUGCCUUCUGAGAGUGAGUUAUCAAUUGCUGGGACCGUUCAUCCCCGUCAGGCUUUAGAGAAGGGCUCUCUGAGCUAGGAGGCAGCAUUAGAUAAUCUCCAGGUUUGCUUCCAGUUUUAUGACUCCAUGAAAGAAAUGGAAGGACCUAUAUAUAUGGCAAUACAAGCCCAUGCUGCAGGACUUCAGAAAGGUGGGCCAAAUGAAUUGCACCAUCUGAGAAAGACCUAGUUUUUAGAGAUUAGAUGGAGUUGGUAGAAGACAGUUUGUUUUGUUUUGUUUUUAUAUUUCUCUCUUUUUUUCUUUAUUUUUUAAUGAUCCUUUUGAAUUCAGCUGCAAGAAGACAGUUGUUUUGAGGGAUGGAAAAUGGUAGUGUGUCAGCCAGCUCCAUUUCAGAAAGCACUGGACAAAGAAAGGAGAGAGGAAUCUGGUGUGGAAGGGUGGGAGGUAACUUUUUUUUGGGGGGGCAUCCCUGGGUGGGUAUGAACAGAGGUCACUCGUGAACAGCCACACACUCUCAAGCACCCCAUUUACUGGCUGACCUUCAAUGUGAUUAUUAAUGUCUUGAAAUUUGUUAGACAUGGACAAUAUUUUGCCAUUCUUACUGAUUUCCAGGCAAAUUUUAGCCCACAUCAGAGCUCAGGUCUGCAUCAGGCCUGAGUGCAGAUUGGAUGUCAGAAGCUGUGGUUUGAAGUCCCAGCAGGCUAGCAGGGUGGGCCGAGGCUGUAACUUUCACAGCCUGGCUGAAGGGCCUCUAGGAGUCCCUGAACCUGGAGUGAUGGACUCCUCAAUUCCACUCCCUCCGACUAGGCUUCCAUUGCACUUCGUGCUUCCCCCGAGAGCUGCGUGUCAUCAUUAAGAUUGUAGUGCCCACUUUGCCUCAACAUCCUUGAAGGCCAGGCCGUAACUUACUCAUCUUUGCAUCUUCUGUGCCUGUCCCAGGUUGGGUUUCCUGGGAAACAGCUUGAAGAGAUCAGCAUGCAAGGUGUUUUGGGGGUACUCCUGGGAUCAAUAGCUAUAGAAAAAAAGGGCCAGGAAACAGGAUGGAGCAGAGGGAAGAGUUGAGCAGCAGUGAAAGGCUUGGGUUAGUCUUGCAGAGUUGGCCUGAGUUGGGGUAGCCAAUCAGGCCUCCAUUCUGCUGAGGUGAUCAGCUUUGGGAUGCUGGCUACUACCAGAAGGAGGUGUGACCUUGAAAGAGGAAGUUUUCUUUAGUUGAGGCAAACCCCAAAGGGGCUGACAGCUGAGGAUUUUCUGCCUCGGCACUCUUAGCAGCAAGGACAACAAGUCCUUUCUUCCUGAGAAGGGACUGGGCAGGUCAUCACAGCAUCUGCUCCAAGGCCUAGUACAUAAUAGCUGUGCAGUAGAAAUGUUUGAUAAAUGAAUGUUUUAGGAAAAUUAGUUUGAGAAGAAGCAGAGAAUGACAUGGAAGGAGAGAAUCCAGCCUUGAGGAAGUGGGGCUGGGAUGAUGGAGGUGAGACUAGGGAGGGUGGCACGCAGACGCCGAGGGCUUACGAACUUGGCCCAAACUAGAGAGGACUCCUUAUUCAGCCAGAACCUUUGAAAUGAAAUGAAAGCUUUGGAACAUUAAGAGGCAAGUUACAGGGGCUUUUUUUUUUUUUUAAUAACUUAUCCUUGUUUCCUUUCAAGACCAUUCUAAGGAACUUUCAAAUAAUAACAUUAAUUAGGCUCUUAUUGUAUAAUAAAUAUGGUCAUUAAGUACUUUACCUGUAUUGACUAAGUCAAUCCUGACAAUCCUAUGAACUGGCACAAUUAUUGUCCCCAUUUCAUUGAUGAGGAAAUACAGAGAGUUGAUAACAGUGGGUGGCAGGGCUAGGAUUCAAGGUCAGUCUGGCUCUGGGACACAGCUCUUAACUGCCACACUGUUCUACUAUGGACUUUUUUUUUUUUUUUUUUUUACCAUUGGGCUCUUAAUGGGAUGUGCAGAAUAGUCACAGCUUGUUAAUUCCAUCACUUAAAACUUAGUUGCAUGGACAGGGUUUGAACAAGCUUCUCUCAGGAGAGCAAGCUGAAGAGUAGGAGUUCUGACCCAAAGGCAGACACAUGCUAGGUGCUCCCUGAAUAGUUAUUCAGUAAAUAAAUAAUCUAAAACUCAUGGUAUACUGGAAAAGUUAUGCACUGGUAUUAGCUCAGCUCUAACACUGAUGGCCUCGGGCAAGUCAGCCUCUCCUGAGUAAAUUAUCCAUGCCAUGAGCACAACACAAUUUGUUUUGCUUCUUUAGGUAGUUGUAUUGAGUCAGAUAAGGUCCUAUGUAAACUGAGUAAAAUUUUUGUAAACUGUAAAGUCCUAUGGGUCUAAAAGGUAUAAUUUCAUGGAAGAAGUGAUUAGGGCAGCAGCCUGGAGCCACCGCUGGAGACACACAUACAUGUGCAGGUAAGCGCUCCUGGCCAUGCUCAAGAUGAUUGUCCCAGGAAGGCCACCCCACAGCUCUCCCCGUCCACUGAGCCAGACAUCAGAAAGCGUACAUGUAGGAAUGUAGCAUGAGACUCUGGCACCCACUGACUCGCAUGGGGUGAGGCAGAAAUCACCGUGCAAUUUUAGCCCAUUCUAAUAUGUAUAGUUCAUGCCCUGUUGGUAAUUCUAGGUUUCUGUUUUCUUUAUAUUAAAUAAAUGGGUAGUUUGGAAAGUGAUUUCUGCUUUACUGUAUAUAAACCUUUGAAACCCUAAAUUAGAAUAAAUAUUUACCAACUCA